UACGGAGGGUGCAAGCGUUGUUCGGAUUUAUUGGGCGUAAAGCGCGUGUAGGCGGUCUCUUAAGUCUGAUGUGAAAGCCCGGAGCUCAACUCCGGGUCUGCCGCGGAUACUGCGAGGCUUGAGUGCUGUAGAGGGGGGUAGAAUGCCGGGUGUAGCGGUGGAAUGCGUGGAGAUCCGGCAGAAGACCGGUGGCGAAGGCGGCCCCCUGGGCAGUAACUGACACUGAGGCGCGACAGCGUGGGGAGCAAACAGG
rnacentral:rRNA from 1 species